CGAAACGCAGGCAAAAGUCGUUCCGUGAAGCACCGGGCACAAGCGACAUCAUCUUUCUGCUGGUUCCAACCGCGGACCUGUUUUCUCGUGCUCCUCUUCCUCCGCUCGGGUCCCAGUUGCACAACCGCCGCGGGUCGCACGUAAAAGCAGCAAAGCCGGAGCGAGGGCUUCGCCUCCGCGAGCAACACACACGCCCGGAGCCACACGGCCCGGCCCGUCGGAAAGUCUUCGCUCACGCCUUUGAGUCCCGUCGACUUGGCCCGGGCCGCGCUGCUUUCCUACCUCCCUGACAGCGCAAUGCUAUACAUGGCACCUCGGAAGUAAGACUCAUUGAGUUCAACGAGCCUUACACCCAAGUGAUUGGUUAUACGAUUGCAGCCGUACAGAAGACAGUUCCAUUAGACACGACAUGACUCUUACCCAGCGAAAGGGUUUUCACAACUCGUCAGUCACGUUGUCGAUGGCGGGGCCUGACACCCUCACGACAGCUCUGCUCCGUUUCUGGUGGAAAAAUGCCCGGAAAGUUCUCCCGUUCCUACGGCAAGCAGAGUUCUGUGCAACCCGCAGGUCUGCCUCCUCAUACAUCUCCAGCUGUCCUUGCCUCGGUAGCAAAUGCCCAGACUGCCCGCUGCGUGCACGUUGCAUCCUAAGCUGCAGACGUCAGUCCUGCUUAUCGGAACAGGAUCAAAUGUUUCGGUCUAAAAUUCAGAUGCGGAAAAAAAUGAAGUCUCUCCCCCCACCCGCACGCCGCACCUCCAGCACGGAGGCUUAACGGUUCACGACCAAUAAACGGUUACCUGCGCAAGCCA